AGAAUCAACGCUGGCGGCGUGCCUAACACAUGCAAGUCGAACGAGAAAGGUGGAGCAAUCCAUGAGUAAAGUGGCGACCGGGUGAGUAACACGUGACUAACCGUACCUUUUAGUGGGGGAUAACCUCGGGAAACCGAGGCUAAUACCGCAUAACAUCGCAAGAUCAAAGCAGCAAUGCGCUGGAAGAGGGGUCGCGGCUGAUUAGCUAGUUGGCGGGUAACGCCCACCAAGGCGAAGAUCGGUA
rnacentral:rRNA from 1 species